GACGAACGCUGGCGGCGUGCUUAACACAUGCAAGUCGAGCGAUGAAGCUCCUUCGGGAGUGGAUUAGCGGCGGACGGGUGAGUAACGCGUGGGCAACCUGCCUUAUAGAGAGGAAUAGCCAUCCGAAAGGAUGAUUAAUACCUAAUAAUAUUGUAGCUUCGCAUGGAGCAACAAUCAAAGGAGCAAUCCACUAUAAGAUGGGCCCGCGGCGCAUUAGCUAGUUGGUGAGGUAACGGCAAACCAAGGCGACGAUGCGUAGCCGACCGGAGAGGGUGGUCGGCCACAUUGGGACUGAGACACGGCCCAGACUCCUACGGGAGGCAGCAGUGGGGAAUAUUGCACAAUGGGGGAAACCCUGAUGCAGCAACGCGGCGUGAGCGAUGACGGCCUUCGGGUUGUAAAGCUCUGUCUUCAGGGACGAUAAUGACGGUACCUGAGGAGGAAGCCACGGCUAACUACGUGCCAGCCGCCGCGGUAA
rnacentral:rRNA from 1 species